rnacentral:rRNA from 1 species
AAUCAACGCUGGCGGCGUGCCUAACACAUGCAAGUCGAACGCGAAAGCCCCUUCGGGGGUAAGUAGAGUGGCGUCCGGGUGAGUAACACGUAGGUAAUCUACCUUCGGGUGGGGAAUAACCAGUCGAAAGAUUGGCUAAUACCGCAUAAUGCAGCGGCACCUAAUGGUGAUUAGUUGUUAAAGCGGGGGAUCGUAAGACCUCGCGCCUGAAGAGGAGCCUGCGGCAGAUUAGCUAGUUGGGAGGUAAUGGCUCACCAAGGCUUCGAUCUGUAGCUGGUCUGAGAGGACGGCCAGCCACACUGGCACUGACACACGGGCCAGACUCCUACGGGAGGCAGCAGU